rnacentral:rRNA from 1 species
AUUGAACGCUGGCGGCAGGCCUAACACAUGCAAGUCGAGCGAGCGGCGGACGGGUGAGUAAUCUAUGGGGACUGCCCGAUAGAGGGGGAUAACUACUGGAAACGGUAGCUAAUAACGCAUACUAUCGGAUAGCCCAUAUGGGAUUAGCUAGUAGGUGAGGUAACGGCGCACCUAGUCGACGAUCCCCAGCUGGUCUGAGAGGAUGAUCAGGCACACUGGGACUGGGAACAGGGCCAAAAUCCUACGGAGGCAGGCGGGGGGAAUUAUGGACAAAUGGCGGAAGCCUGGUGCAAGCAUGCCGGGUGGUUGGAAAAGGCCCUGGGGGUUGAAAAUACUUUCAGUCGGGAGGCGUUACCGAGAGAAGAAACACCGGCUAACUCCCUGGCGACCGCCGCGGUAAUAC